GGGUUGUGAGGUUAAGCGACUAAGCGUACACGGUGGAUGCCCUGGCAGUCAGAGGCGAUGAAGGACGUGCUAAUCUGCGAAAAGCGUCGGUAAGGUGAUAUGAACCGUUAUAGCCGGCGAUGUCCGAAUGGGGAAACCCAGUGCAAUUCGUUGCACUAUCGUUAACUGAAUACAUAGGUUAACGAGGCGAACCGGGGGAACUGAAACAUCUAAGUACCCCGAGGAAAAGAAAUCAACCGAGAUUCCCCCAGUAGCGGCGAGCGAACGGGGAGCAGCCCAGAGUCUGAAUCAGCUUGUGUGUUAGUGGAACGGUCUGGAAAGUCCGACGGUACAGGGUGAUAGUCCCGUACACCAAAAUGCACAGGCUGUGAACUCGAAGAGUAGGGCGGGACACGUGGUAUCCUGUCUGAAUAUGGGGGGACCAUCCUCCAAGGCUAAAUACUCCUGACUGACCGAUAGUGAACCAGUACCGUGAGGGAAAGGCGAAAAGAACCCCGGCGAGGGGAGUGAAAAAGAACCUGAAACCGUGUACGUACAAGCAGUGGGAGCACCUUCGGGUGUGACUGCGUACCUUUUGUAUAAUGGGUCAGCGACUUAUAUUCUGUAGCAAGGUUAACCGUAUAGGGGAGCCGCAGGGAAACCGAGUCUUAACUGGGCGUUAAGUUGCAGGGUAUAGACCCGAAACCCGGUGAUCUAGCCAUGGGCAGGUUGAAGGUUGGGUAACACUAACUGGAGGACCGAACCGACUAAUGUUGAAAAAUUAGCGGAUGACUUGUGGCUGGGGGUGAAAGGCCAAUCAAACCGGGAGAUAGCUGGUUCUCCCCGAAAGCUAUUUAGGUAGCGCCUCGUGAACUCAUCUUCGGGGGUAGAGCACUGUUUCGGCUAGGGGGUCAUCCCGACUUACCAACCCGAUGCAAACUACGAAUACCGAAGAAUGUUAUCACGGGAGACACACGGCGGGUGCUAACGUCCGUCGUGAAGAGGGAAACAACCCAGACCGCCAGCUAAGGUCCCAAAGUCAUGGUUAAGUGGGAAACGAUGUGGGAAGGCACAGACAGCCAGGAUGUUGGCUUAGAAGCAGCCAUCAUUUAAAGAAAGCGUAAUAGCUCACUGGUCGAGUCGGCCUGCGCGGAAGAUGUAACGGGGCUAAACCAUGCACCGAAGCUGCGGCAGCGACACUAUGUGUUGUUGGGUAGGGGAGCGUUCUGUAAGCCUGCGAAGGUGACCUGUGAGGGUUGCUGGAGGUAUCAGAAGUGCGAAUGCUGACAUAAGUAACGAUAAAGCGGGUGAAAAGCCCGCUCGCCGGAAGACCAAGGGUUCCUGUCCAACGUUAAUCGGGGCAGGGUGAGUCGACCCCUAAGGCGAGGCCGAAAGGCGUAGUCGAUGGGAAACAGGUUAAUAUUCCUGUACUUGGUGUUACUGCGAAGGGGGGACGGAGAAGGCUAUGUUAGCCGGGCGACGGUUGUCCCGGUUUAAGCAUGUAGGCUGAUUGUCCAGGCAAAUCCGGAUAAUCAAGGCUGAGGUGUGAUGACGAGGCACUACGGUGCUGAAGUAACAAAUGCCCUGCUUCCAGGAAAAGCCUCUAAGCAUCAGGUAACAUCAAAUCGUACCCCAAACCGACACAGGUGGUCAGGUAGAGAAUACCAAGGCGCUUGAGAGAACUCGGGUGAAGGAACUAGGCAAAAUGGUGCCGUAACUUCGGGAGAAGGCACGCUGGUGUGUAGGUGAAGCCCCUGCGGGUGGAGCUGAGACCAGUCGAAGAUACCAGCUGGCUGCAACUGUUUAUUAAAAACACAGCACUGUGCAAACACGAAAGUGGACGUAUACGGUGUGACGCCUGCCCGGUGCCGGAAGGUUAAUUGAUGGGGUUAUCCGUAAGGAGAAGCUCUUGAUCGAAGCCCCGGUAAACGGCGGCCGUAACUAUAACGGUCCUAAGGUAGCGAAAUUCCUUGUCGGGUAAGUUCCGACCUGCACGAAUGGCGUAAUGAUGGCCAGGCUGUCUCCACCCGAGACUCAGUGAAAUUGAACUCGCUGUGAAGAUGCAGUGUACCCGCGGCAAGACGGAAAGACCCCGUGAACCUUUACUAUAGCUUGACACUGAACAUUGAGCCUUGAUGUGUAGGAUAGGUGGGAGGCUUUGAAGCGUGGACGCCAGUCUGCGUGGAGCCAACCUUGAAAUACCACCCUUUAAUGUUUGAUGUUCUAACGUUGGCCCCUGACCGGGGUUGCGGACAGUGUCUGGUGGGUAGUUUGACUGGGGCGGUCUCCUCCCAAAGCGUAACGGAGGAGCACGAAGGUUAGCUAAUCCUGGUCGGACAUCAGGAGGUUAGUGCAAUGGCAUAAGCUAGCUUGACUGCGAGCGUGACGGCGCGAGCAGGUGCGAAAGCAGGUCAUAGUGAUCCGGUGGUUCUGAAUGGAAGGGCCAUCGCUCAACGGAUAAAAGGUACUCCGGGGAUAACAGGCUGAUACCGCCCAAGAGUUCAUAUCGACGGCGGUGUUUGGCACCUCGAUGUCGGCUCAUCACAUCCUGGGGCUGAAGUAGGUCCCAAGGGUAUGGCUGUUCGCCAUUUAAAGUGGUACGCGAGCUGGGUUUAGAACGUCGUGAGACAGUUCGGUCCCUAUCUGCCGUGGGCGCUGGAGAAUUGAGGGGGGCUGCUCCUAGUACGAGAGGACCGGAGUGGACGCAUCACUGGUGUUCGGGUUGUCAUGCCAAUGGCACUGCCCGGUAGCUAAAUGCGGAAGAGAUAAGUGCUGAAAGCAUCUAAGCACGAAACUUGCCCCGAGAUGAGUUCUCCCUGAGACUUUAAGUCUCCUGAAGGAACGUUGAAGACGAUGACGUUGAUAGGCCGGGUGUGUAAGCGCAGCGAUGCGUUGAGCUAACCGGUACUAAUGAACCGUGAGGCUUAACCUUACAACGCCGAAG
rnacentral:rRNA from 1 species